GAAUACUUGUGAAGUGGCUUUCCCCCUCCUCAUUCCUCCUGGAAUGCUUGUGGGACGAAUGGGCUGGUUGAACAGCUGGAAGAUCAAAAGAGCUUCCAGGUAGACAAGGUGUCUGGGACUGUAAUUAGGCAGCACACACACCCACUGUAUGGACACUGCCCGAGGUGGAGUGUGACCAACCAGACGCGGCCAAGUCAUCUCUAGUCGCAGGCCCUGAAGAGCAGGUCCUUAAAAGGGGAAGGGGCCAUGUGCUCAAAAGGACACUCAGAAGCUUGUACCUCCCAUGAAGGCCCUUCGUCCGGACCGCCUGGCCAGUGGUUCACUGCGUUGCAUUUCAUCAUGUCUUGGGAAGACUUGCCUUCAUCACGCCGUCCAUCACUGCACUAUGGAACACUUACCUUCAAGGAUCCUAACAUCUCCAGUGCUGUGCCUGUCCUGGGAGCCUGAAGUCAGUACUUGGAAAUGACAUCACUUGCUUCUUGAUGGUUAUAAAAAAGUAAACUCUGUUAGAGUUCAUUGUUCAUAUCUGCCUGACCACGUUGGAGCCCAUCAACAUGGGUCUAAGCACCCCUGGGAUUAGCCUGUUUAGCGGAUUAAAUUGUGACCUGGCCAGAGGGCCAACUCAUAGGAAGGUGGACCACUGGAAGACCAGAGCAGCCAUCCGAAUGGGGUGCUGCUGGAAAGGGAGAGAGUUGCUACACCACCUCUGGCCAUCAGGAGGCACUGCAGCAGUAAGUCCACUCCUUCACAGUGAGAAUAAGGACAUUGAAAAGAAACUAAAUGAUUUAUUUGUAUUGGGUUUUCACUGCAAAGGAUGUUGUGGAGAUUAAUAAUCUUUUCGGGUAAUACAGUUUAGGCACUGUCAGAAUAAGGUGUCAAAAAUUAGGUGCAAGAAUAAAGUAAUAAAGAUCAAUAAGUCACCAGGACCUGAUGGUAUUAAUUUGAGAAUUCUGAGGAAUUAAUUGGCUGAGCAGCUAACAAAAGAUUGGAAGCUAGCAAAUGUUGUAUAUGCCAUACGAUUUUCAAAAUUCACUAGGAAUGAUCCUGGCACUUAUAGACCCAUGAUCCAUACUUCAGUAAAAGAGAAAUUGGUUGAAGAAAUAAUUAGAUUUUAAAAAAGGACAUACCAGCAUGGCUCUGUAAAAGAAAAUCUCUCUAGCCUACUAGAAUUGUUUUGACAAUGUCAACAAAAUAGUGGAUGAAGGAGAAGACAAAGAGUUGGCAUAAUUUAUUUGGACUUUCAAUAAGCUUUUGAAAAAGUUCCUAACAAGAUGCUAUUAGGCAAAAUAAGAAGUCAUGAGUUUGGAGGUAAAGUUUUGCCAUAGAUUAGUAACUGGCUAAGAAAAAGAAAAGAGUAUAAAUAAAUGGUCAAUUUUCAAUAUUGUGAGUGGCUAACAUUAGGGUUCCUAAAAAUCUGCUCUGGGGCUGGUUUUAAUGCGUUAAUAAAUGAUCUGUAAAUGAAAGUAAGGCGGCUAAGUUUAUAGGUGACAAAGAUUAUUAAUGUUUUUCAAGAUUAGGGAAAAUUGUGAGGAACUCCAAAGGGACCUAAUAAAUCAGGUGAAUGGGCAGCAUGAUGGCAGAUGUAAUUCAGUAUUGACAAAUGGAAGGUAAAGUUAGUUGCCAGGAAUGACUUUGAACUACUUAGAUAUAUUUCUGAGUUUUAAAUUAACUGUAAUCACUCAUGAAAAAGAUAUGAGUGUCAUUGUGGAUAGCUCAUUGAAAACCUCCUCCCAAUGUGCAGUGAUUAAACCCAUCCCCCACCAAUGUUAAGUUUUCUCUUAGUUGUGCUGAAAGGCAGCAAAAGUGAAAGUUCACUAAAUUGUAUUUUCUGGCCAAAAUCGUAUUAAGCAACCAUCAGUUUUAAUUGCCAAAAUAAUUUGGAGCCACUUUAUAUUAAGCAAUAUUAAUAAGUUUCCUUGUAUAAGAUUUAAAAUGUUUUUAUAAAGUAAUAAAGACCUAUUUGAAAUACUUUUUCAGAAGGGUUGAGGUAGGUUUUUAAAGUACGAACUUAGCUAAAAACAGAUCAAGCCGUUUUUAGUUUCAGUUCUGUUUUCUUUAGGUGAGCUGUAAGAUGAGCUGUUUCCCUAAUUGCAAUACAUUGACUCUACCAUUUGGAGGAGCCUGUGCCACAGAAUGAUAAACUGAAGUUAUCAGGCAAAGAAGAGUCUUCACUUGUGAAACAGUCGGAACACAACCCAGAGGUCCUUGGUCAGUUCAGGUCAUGACAAGCUGCAGGCUGUACUUGGCAGAGACCCCACCGCUACCGUGCACGCUACUGUGGAUGUCUCCGAGGAGCCUAAGCCACGGGCCCCUGCCAUGAACUGGAAGGAGAACAAGCAGAGAGAGGUGACAUGCAGGGGAGUCCACCUAUACCAGGAGCCAGGACCUGCCUGAGACUCCUGCAUUGUCUAGCCAGUCCUGCCAGCUGAGCAUGGACUAGCCUGUUGAAGGGGAAGGGACCUCAGGAGCUGUUGCUGUUAUGGGGCCCCUCCACACCCACAGAACACUUGACCCUGAUGAGGAGAAAGAAGAGGAUUAGAGAGGACAUACGGAAUGAGGUCCUGCAAGCUGGUGCUGCAUCGGACUGUGAACAAAGGGCCUGAAGGGCUGAUGGUAUGGAGAGGGGAAAAGUGGACAGAAGAAAUGCCAGCAGGGAAAGGGGGAGAUACACCAAGACUUAAUAGGAGCAAAUUUAAAUGCUGCAGACCCUGGUUGACCAACAGGUCCAAAUAUCCCAGACUCACCUUUGCAGACCUUGGAGAACUCCAUGGCAGCAGCAUGGUCUUAAGGCUUGAUCCGGUGACUCUUCCCACCAAUCAGGCAGUGUGGCCACUGGGCAGCCUACUGCAUGCCAGCUGCAUUUGUUACGUUGCUCGGAGACUGGUUCUGCUGCAGACCCUGAUUCCUGACAACACCAGUGAUAUGAGUUAACCAGUUUGUAGUGUAGACAUGGCCUUAGUCUUUUAAGUUGCUGUAAUUCUGUAGCUGAACAACACCCUUCUUUUCUCAGUGCUAGUCUUUCAUUCUGUUUGGCUGCAGACUGGACAUGAUGGCAAUGUAUCUGUUUGGUUUUUUUUAAAGCUGUCUUUGCAAAACAAAGGGCUAUAUACACUGUCAUCCUCCCCCCUUCCCCUGUUCCCGCUUCUGCAAGAAAGCUCAGAUUCUGAAGAACAGCAAAAAUCUAUGAAAGACCUCAAAUUUGCAAUUUCCAUGGCACGGAUGUGUAUUGUCUGUAAUGAUGAUGGUCAUAAAAGCCAGAGCUCUGAAAUAAAAGUGAUAAUUUCUA